GUGAUCCGGUGGUUCUGCGUGGAAGGGCCAUCGCUCAACGGAUAAAAGCUACCCUGGGGAUAACAGGCUUAUCUCCCCCAAGAGUCCACAUCGACGGGGGGGUUUGGCACCUCGAUGUCGGCUCAUCACAUCCUGGGGCUGUAGUAGGUCCCAAGGGUUGGGCUGUUCGCCCAUUAAAGUGGUACGCGAGCUGGGUUCAGAACGUCGUGAGACAGUUCGGUCCCUAUCCGUCGCAGGCGUAGGAAAUUUGAGAAGACCUGUCCUUAGUACGAGAGGACCGGGAUGGACGUACCUCUGGUGUACCAGUUGUCCUGCCAAGGGCAUGGCUGGGUAGCUA
rnacentral:rRNA from 1 species